rnacentral:rRNA from 1 species
AGUGAACGCUGGCGGUAGGCCUAACACAUGCAAGUCGAACGGCAGCACAGUAAGAGCUUGCUCUUACGGGUGGCGAGUGGCGGACGGGUGAGGAAUACAUCGGAAUCUACUUUUUCGUGGGGGAUAACGUAGGGAAACUUACGCUAAUACCGCAUACGACCUACGGGUGAAAGCAGGGGAUCUUCGGACCUUGCGCGAUUGAAUGAGCCGAUGUCGGAUUAGCUAGUUGGCGGGGUAAAGGCCCACCAAGGCGACGAUCCGUAGCUGGUCUGAGAGGAUGAUCAGCCACACUGGAACUGAGACACGGUCCAGACUCCUACUGUAGGCAGCAGUGGGGCAUAUUGGACAAUGGGCGCAAGACUGAUCCAGCCAUACCGCGUGGGUGAAGAAGGCCUUCGGGUUGUAAAGCCCUUUUGUUGGGAAAGAAAAGCAGCAUGUUAAUACCCCGCUGUUCUGACGGUACCCAAAGAAUAAGCACCGGCUAACUUCGUG